rnacentral:rRNA from 1 species
UACGAAGGGGGCUAGCGUUGUUCGGAAUUACUGGGCGUAAAGCGCGCGCAGGCGGUCUUCUAAGUCAGUGGUGAAAGCCCGGAGCUCAACCCCGGAACUGCCAUUGAAACUGUGAGACUUGAGGACGAGAGAGGUGAGUGGAAUUCCCAGUGUAGAGGUGAAAUGCGUAGAUAUUGGGAGGAACACUGGUGGCGAAGGCGGCUCACUGGCUCGUAUCUGACGCUCAGGCGCGACAGCGUGGGGAGCAAACAGG